rnacentral:lncRNA from 1 species
AUUAGCAAGAUCUGUCAAAUAAAAUUCAGUUGAGAAAAAACACAAUCAUUAUCAUAAGAUUAAGAAAGGGUAAACAGAACUAUUUGAUGCCCAAAAAAUAAGGUCAUGUUUAACCAGAUUUGAGAAUAGAGUGGUCGCCCUACAUAAAACAAUCUCCAUCAGAGAAAAUAAAAUAAAAAUUAGUGGGAUCUAUUUGAAAUUGAUGCUAAAUAAAACCUCUUCAUAAAUUUAUAUUCACGGUUAGCUAUCCCAUCCGCACACAUGCUUACUCUGUAAGAAGAAUUUUCUGCACAACUAGCACUAACACUCUGUUGUGUUGUGUUGUAUAAUACUCUUUCAGAAUCAAUACACACCUCAACUGUCCUGAAACCCUAAUUCACCAACUCCAAACGCAAUCGCAAGCCAAAGCUCAAUAAUUUUUCCACUGCAAAUCACUUUUUAACUCUACACUGCAUCUCACAUUCAAAUGAAUCCAUGUCUCUAUCAUAUUACUGCUAAAAUAUUCAUGUUUCAUGGUAUUUGGAACCACAUUGAUCACAGAGCAAGUGCUUGUGAACAAUCUCUUAGCAAAUGCAGAAUUGUUCCAAUCAAUCACCAGUACCACAAUAAAGAAUAUGUGCUAGCAACUAUAAAGUUACCGUACUAGCCUCCAAGCCACAAGAUCUUGUCA